AACUACCUGCAAAUAAAAUAACAAAAGACAACAUGAUCAUUCUAUUCCUUAGCAUCCAUUUAAACGCUAUACUAGUUUCAGGUUCCUCUCUCAGUGACCAAGUCUUCCAGACUCCAGCGGACAUUUACAACAAACCAGGAGAAACAGCCAAAAUCAGAUGUUCACACACCAUUGAAAGCUACAACCAAAUCUUCUGGUACAAACAGUCAAAAAAACAGCUAUUGCUCCUGGGAUAUGUAUAUAUUGACAAUGCAUUACCCGAGAAGGAAGUGGAUGUGAAGAUGGAAGGAAGUGCAAAUAAAGACCAAAACUGCACAUUAAUAAUUGAAGGACUCAAGCUGAACAGCAGUGCAGUGUACUUCUGUGCUGCUAGUUACACAGGCACAGAGGCUUACUUUGGUGGAGGAACAAAGUUAACUGUUAUAGGAAAAGACAUCACAGCACCAACAGUCAAAGUGCUUCGACCUUCAGCUAAGGAGUGUCGAAGCGGUAAAGACAGCACAACAAAGAAGACCAUCGUUUGUGUGGCCAGUGGAUUCUACCCAGACCAUGUCACUGUUCAGUGGACGGACGGGGCCGGGACAGAGAUCUCCUCUGGUGUGGCGACUGACAGCGCUGCCCUGCGAGGAGUUGAUGGGUUUUACACAAUCACCAGCAGGCUGAAGGUCUAUGGCACAGAAUGGUUCAAUCCAGAGAAUAAAUUCACCUGCACUGUCAGCUUCUACAACGGGGCAGACACUAAAGAUUAUUCAGACUCAUUGUAUGGGGAUGAAGCUAAAGGAACAGUCAUGACGAGAGAGAAAUAUCUGAGGAAGACACAGACCGCCAAACUCGCCUACGGGGUUUUAAUCGUCAAGAGCUGCAUCUACGGAGCCUUUGUGGUGUUUCUGGUGUGGAGACUUCAGAAGUCACCUGGAAAGCGGAACUGAGAGCCGAGGACAGAACUUUUCUGGCUUCUGUAAAUAAAGAUUUAAAACAUUGAGGUUAUAUAUCAACUUUAUUUGCUGCAGUGCAUUUUCAUUCUGCUAAAACAGAUGCAAACAUCCAUGCAUAUUCUUUGUUAAAAGGUAUAACUGGCAUGCAUAUACUUUGGCUUCACAUUUUUAUAAAAAUGUAUGAAAGAAAUUCUGUAUUUGUGUUCAUAAAUUGCUUGUUUGCUUAAUUUUCUUCUCAAUAAAAGUGUUUCAGAGGAUCAAAUCAAUCAUGUGUUUUAAAUUCUCUGUUAAAAAAGUUAUAACAUCUCCAGACACUAAAACAUUAUUUACACUUAGUAUAUAGCGUUGAAACUUGCAUGGAUU